AAUUUCUCAGCUUCUUCUCAGCUCUCUACGAAAAUUUCUCUCUGAAAUCUCACUCAAAUCACAAUCAACUCCACUCCCUAAAGUCUGAAAUCGACGACGACAUCUUCCUCCCUCGCCGAAAAUCGACGACGACAGUUCAGUUCCUUGCUGGAAAUCGAUGGCAACAGCUCCAUUCGUUGACGACAGCUCCAUUCCUCGCUCCAGCUCCAUUCCUCGCUCCAUUCAUCUUAUUGAGAGAUCUAAUCAACUUCUCCUCUUUUAAAUCUACUACCAUUAUUUUAUUUCACCUUUACAGAUGUUGAUGCUUCUUUAUGCAUUGUGCGGAUGUAGAAUUCCAUGAUAACUUUAUAUUAUUUGUUAUGCUCUCGAUAAUUGAUUUCCUUCUUUAAUGCAAAUGCCCUGAUAUUUUAUUGGAUUACUUAUGCAGAUCAUAUAUUUCAGAUACAAGUUAGCUGGCUCUCAUGGGUACCGUUGUUGAGGAUCCAAAGAGGGAAGCAUAUGGAAGUUUAGCCGAGAAGAAGCCCACUGUUGUUUUUGUUUGGGUGGACCAGGCAGUGGCAAAGGAACCCAAUGUGCAAAUAUUGUCGAGCACUUUGGGUACACCCAUCUCAGUGCUGGUGAUCUUCUUAGGAAUGGUGAUGAUGAUGAUGAAUAAUUUUAAUGCUAGUGUGUGAAGCUCAAUCUAGAUGAAGACAGAUCAAAGAAAAAAACACU